CGUACGGAGGAGAACGGAGGGACGUCCGCACUUUAAGGGCUGUGCGGACGUCCUCUUUAGAUCCUCUCCGUGUGUGUAUAUAUAUAUAUAUUUAUAUAUAGACCCGCUAACUAAAUCCUUUCUCUCUUCUCCGACUGAGGAGCCUUUGCAACCAUCACCAGCACCAAAGUUCAUAUGAUCAUGACCCAACCCUUUACUUGACUUUUGGGUUCCUCCAAGAGUAAAUGACGGAAUUCAGAUUUAACUCUUUCAACAGAAAGACAACAGGAUUGAAGGUCGUUCAUUGGUAAUAAUGAGUACAUGAAUUUGGUUGUAGAUGACGUUGAAGAAGUGAGCAUCAAGAACAAUACCGGAAAACACUAGUUAAGGGAAUUUUCCUCAACGAUUAACAUAACUCUCACAAUGAACUCGGGAAAAUGAUGAUCGAUCUGACUCAAAACCCCAUCAGCUUUUUGAUUUGAAAUUACUGUUUAUACUUUCUGGAUUUUGGUGGCAUGGAUUUGACUAUUUGAGAUGGGGAGAGAGAGAGAGUAAAAGACGAAGUUGCCCACUGAAUAUCUUAUGCGGCAAUGGAGUUGACGUCGUCAAUGAUGACAGGUACUAAAAGGUUCUUGAGGUUCGAUAUUGAGGUGCUGAUGUUAUAGUUUUCAAAAUUCAUAUACUGAAAUGAUGAACGACUCUUACUUAGGGUACCAUUUGUAAAUUUUUCUCUCUAAAAAAAGGAUGAACAGUUGCCAAACAGUAACUUUCAGAUUUGGGAAUUUGAUGUUUAUAAAAAGUACUAAUUUCAGUAUACCACCAUCAACUUUAGGUUGAUCAUCAUGUUAGUCCAUUUUCUUUCAAUUUCAUCAAAAACACCCCUCAACUUCCAAUUUUCAUCAGCCGUAUCCAAACAUCCAUUUUUCAUCUAAUUCCCCCAUCAUGUGAUGACUUCCAUUAAGAAGAAAACCAAAUUUGAAGUCGCUUGGCCCACAUAAAAAGGGCAAAAUAGACAAAUUGCAUUCAAUCCCACCAAAAGUUGAAAACCAAAUUUGAAGUCGUUGUCCGUUUUAAAAGCAACAUUUCAUGUGUUUUCACACACACACACACACACACACACACACACACACACACACACACACACACACACACACACACACACACACACACACACACACACACACACA
rnacentral:lncRNA from 1 species